rnacentral:rRNA from 1 species
ACUCCUACGGGAGGCAGCAGUGAGGAAUAUUGGGCAAUGGGCGCAAGCCUGAACCAGCCAUGCCGCGUGAAGGAAGACUGCCCUAUGGGUUGUAAACUUCUUUUAGCACCAAGAAUGGUUACUACGAGUAGUGAUUGACG